AGAUUGAACGCUGGCGGCAGGCCUAACACAUGCAAGUCGAGCGGCAGCACGGGUACUUGUACCUGGUGGCGAGCGGCGGACGGGUGAGUAAUGCCUAGGAAUCUGCCUGGUAGUGGGGGAUAACGCUCGGAAACGGACGCUAAUACCGCAUACGUCCUACGGGAGAAAGCAGGGGACCUUCGGGCCUUGCGCUAUCAGAUGAGCCUAGGUCGGAUUAGCUAGUUGGUGAGGUAAUGGCUCACCAAGGCGACGAUCCGUAACUGGUCUGAGAGGAUGAUCAGUCACACUGGAACUGAGACACGGUCCAGUACU
rnacentral:rRNA from 1 species